GUGAAGCGGCAACAGCUCAAAUUUGAAAUCUGGCUUCGGCCCGAGUUGUAAUUUGUAGAGGAUGCUUUUGGCGAGGUGCCUUCUGAGUUCCCUGGAACGGGACGCCAGAGAGGGUGAGAGCCCCGUAUAGUCGGACACCAAGCCUUUGUAAAGCUCCUUCGACGAGUCGAGUAGUUUGGGAAUGCUGCUCAAAAUGGGAGGUAUAUCUCUUCUAAAGCUAAAUAUAGGCCAGAGACCGAUAGCGCACAAGUAGAGUGAUCGAAAGAUGAAAAGCACUUUGAAAAGAGGGUUAAAUAGCACGUGAAAUUGUUGAAAGGGAAGCGCUUGUGACCAGACUUGUGCCGGGCUGAUCAUCCAGUGUUCUCACUGGUGCACUCGACCCGGCUCAGGCCAGCGUCGGUUCUCGUGGGGGGAUAAAAACUUCGGGAACGUGGCUCCUCCGGGAGUGUUAUAGCCCGUUGUUUAAUACCCUCGUGGGGACCGAGGUUCGCGCUCUGCAAGGACGCUGGCAUAAUGGUCAUCAGCGACCCGUCUUGAAACACGGACCAAGGAGUCGAGGUUUUGCGCGAGUGUUUGGGUGUAAAACCCGCACGCGUAAUGAAAGUGAACGUAGGUGAGAGCUUCGGCGCAUCAUCGACCGAUCCUGAUGUAUUCGGAUGGAUUUGAGUAAGAGCGUAUAGCCUCGGACCCGAAAGAUGGUGAACUAUGCCUGAAUAGGGUGAAGCCAGAGGAAACUCUGGUGGAGGCUCGCAGCGGUUCUGACGUGCAAAUCGAUCGUCAAAUUUGGGCAUGGGGGCGAAAGACUAAUCGAACCAUCUAGUAGCUGGUUACCGCCGAAGUUUCCCUCAGGAUAGCAGUGUUGUUCUUCAGUUUUAUGAGGUAAAGCGAAUGAUUAGGGACUCGGGGGCGCUAUAUAGCCUUCAUCCAUUCUCAAACUUUAAAUAUGUAAGAAGCCCUUGUUACUUAAUUGAACGUGGGCAUUCGAAUGUACCAACACUAGUGGGCCAUUUUUGGUAAGCAGAACUGGCGAUGCGGGAUGAACCGAACGCGGGGUUAAGGUGCCAGAGUGGACGCUCAUCAGACACCACAAAAGGCGUUAGUACAUCUUGACAGCAGGACGGUGGCCAUGGAAGUCGGAAUCCGCUAAGGACUGUGUAACAACUCACCUGCCGAAUGUACUAGCCCUGAAAAUGGAUGGCGCUCAAGCGUCCCACCCAUACCCCGCCGUCAGGGUAGAAACGAUGCCCUGACGAGUAGGCGGCCGUG
rnacentral:rRNA from 1 species